rnacentral:rRNA from 1 species
AUUGAACGCUGGCGGCAGGCCUAACACAUGCAAGUCGAGCGAGUGGCGGACGUGUGAGUAAUGACUGGGCAAGUGCCUGAUGGAGGGGGAUAACUACUGGAAACGGUUACUAAUAACGCAUACACUAGGCUGGGCCCAACUGGGAUUAGCUAGUAGGUGGGGUAAAGGCUAACCUAGGCGACGAUCCCUAGCUGGUCUGAGAGGAUGACCAGUCACACUGGAACUGAGACACGGGUCAGACUCCUACGGUAGGCAGCAGUGGGGAAUAUUGCACAAUGGGCGAAAGCCUGAUGCAGCCAUGCCGCGUGUAUGAAGAAGGCCUUCGGGUUGUAAAGCACUUUCAGCGGGGAGGCGUUACCCGCAGAAGAAGCACCGGCUAACUCCGUGCCAGCAGCCGCGGUAAUAC